AUGUGUAUACCUACCCCAGAAAUGAGUUUUUGACCAAAUUGUGGAAGGAUAAGCUGGGCUUGCAAUGCCAUGCAUAAUCCUUGCAACGGCUCUAGGAGUGAAUUUAGCCUGUGAGUUGCUCUGCAGAAAGACUUUUAUAUCUGCUCGGAGGAAUGGGCUGCUCUGGUUCAUUUUAUUUGGAGUAUCAUAAGUAUCACCCUCCUGGAAAUAAGAACAAAUCUUUCCUUCUAAGCAUGGUGUCUGCUCGGAGGUACAGAAGCCCUGAGACUUUCCACACAAAUUUAU
rnacentral:misc_RNA from 1 species